rnacentral:rRNA from 1 species
UACGUAGGGUCCGAGCGUUGUCCGGAAUUACUGGGCGUAAAGAGCUCGUAGGUGGUUUGUCGCGUUGUUCGUGAAAAACUCACAGCUCAACUGUGGGCGUGCGGCGAUACGGGCAGACUAUAGUACUGCAGGGGAGACUGAAUUCUGGUGUAGCGGUGGAAUGCGCAGAUAUCAGGAGGAACACCGGUGGCGAAGGGCGCCACUCUGGGGCCGAAAAACUGACGCUGAGGGAGCGAAAAGCAUGGGGUAGCAAAACAGG